rnacentral:rRNA from 1 species
CCCUGGCUCAGGACGAACGCUGGCGGCGUGCUUAAUACAUGCAAGUCGAGCGGAUCUUCUCCUUCGGGAGAAGGUUAGCGGCGGACGGGUGAGUAACACGUAGGCAACCUGCCCUCAAGAUCGGGAUAACAUUCGGAAACGAAUGCUAAGACCGGAUAAACAAUUUGCCCGCAUGGGUGAAUUGGGAAACACGGUGCAAGCUGUGGCUUGAGGAUGGGCCUGCGGCGCAUUAGCUAGUUGGUGGGGUAAAGGCUCACCAAGGCGACGAUGCGUAGCCGACCUGAGAGGGUGAACGGCCACACUGGGACUGAGACACGGCCCAGACUCCUACGGGAGGCAGCAGUAGGGAAUCUUCCACAAUGGGCGAAAGCCUGAUGGAGCAACGCCGCGUGAGUGAGGAAGGCUUUCGGGUCGUAAAGCUCUGUUGCCAGGGAAGAAUAAGGACGUGUUAACUGCACGUCUGAUGACGGUACCUGAGAAGAAAGCCCCGGCUAACUA